rnacentral:rRNA from 1 species
GAUGAACGCUGGCGGCGUGCCUAAUACAUGCAAGUCGAGCGAACAGACGAGGAGCUUGCUCCUCUGACGCUAGCGGCGGACGGGUGAGUAACACGUGGAUAACCUACCUAUAAGACUGGGAUAACUUCGGGAAACCGGAGCUAAUACCGGAUAAUAUAUUGAACCGCAUGGUUCAAUAGUGAAAGACGGUUUUGCUGUCACUUAUAGAUGGAUCCGCGCCGCAUUAGCUAGUUGGUAAGGUAACGGCUUACCAAGGCAACGAUGCGUAGCCGACCUGAGAGGGUCAUCGGCCACACUGGAACUGAGACACGGUCCAGACUCCUACGGGAGGCAGCAGUAGGGAAUCUUCCGCAAUGGGCGAAAGCCUGACGGAGCAACGCCGCGUGAGUGAUGAAGGUCUUCUGAUCGUAAAACUCUGUUAUUAGGGAAGAACAAAUGUGUAAGUAACUAUGCACGUCUUGACGGUACCUAAUCAGAAAGCCACGGCUAACUACGUG